AGCAAAUGGGUAGAAGCGUUCCCAACCUACUUGGUGGACAUGAUUAUGGUAACUAAAAUAUUAGGUCAAGAUAUUAUCCCUAGAGUUGGUUUACUAGGAUCUCUUUAAAUGAUGGAUGACAUUUUAGCUAAUCAGGUUGAACAAAUAGAAUGCCAGAGUUAGAGAUACCAGAACAGGUAGAUAUAGAAGUUGAAGAAAUACUAGCAGAGCACAUGAGAAGACUGUUUGUUAACCAAACCCGUAUGUCCAAGUUUUUGUGUCCAACAGGUGAAUUACAGGAGAAGGUGAUUCACUCAAUCCAACCAGGAGACUGGGUGUGGAUCCAUUCCCUGAGGAGAAAAGACUGGAAGCAGCCCCGUUGGGAAGACCCAUACCAGGUUCUGUUAAACCACUGUCUUUGUCAUUAGAAAAGCUGAGAGAGUCACUUGGGUCCACGUUACCCACUGCAAGAAGGUAUGUACACAUAUGAGCACUGCUGAUCACACACGGAGUUAGGAGAAGAACCGAGUACCAACAGGGUCCGGGGGUCACCUCCUUAACGAAGAUUCCCUAUACCGACUGUUCAUCACUGUGGGUGCUCCUAGAGGUGUGAGUAUGGGGUGGUACCUAGCAGAGAGACUAAGGGCAGGAGAGGGUUGGCAGUUUUUGGGAAGCGUAGGGACUCUGAGCUGCAUCAUAGUUUUGGUAACCUUUCUGAUACAUUCAGAUGCACCACCUUCCGGUACUAAUCAUACAAUACCGUUGUCAUUGAGAAGAAGUAAACUAUAUAAUACACUGAUGAGUGACAUACAGAAUAAGGAAUCAAAGAAGAUCAAGAUGUAGAAUUUAAGAGAUUCAUGAAUGAAACCGGGGAUGCAGGAAAGGGGUUCCCUGACCAAUUAUCCGCCACCUCCCUCAUGACCUGGUAAAAUAGACUGACUCUCGAUAUGUUAUUGGCAGAAGAGGGCGGUGUAGGUAGAAUGAUUAGGUUCAUUGCUGCACGUACAUUCCUGAUAACACAGCCCAUGUUUGGGAAAUGGAAAAGUGUUGUAAGAACUGUAUUAUGGGCUGCUUUCACCUGUAUGAGUGUGUUUGUGUUGUGUGGUUGUUGUUUGGUCCCGUGUGCGAGAGGUCUCAUUUCCAGGGUUCUGGAGAGAUCGAUAACGGAGCAGAUGGGGAGAUACGGACCGAUUCCAAGUUCAGAUCAAUGGGACGACAAAAACUUACCGCCGAGCCUGGUGGAGGAUUCAUUCAAUUAUGAGGAGCCCAUGUUAGAGGAGACCAUCUUUAGAGUUUAGGAAGACUGUUUCUUUAAGUAAAGGUCAUAACAAAAAUCCUGACCCGAAGUGUUAUGAUUGGAGAUAGGCUUAGAACAGUCAUCGAUAAGUAUGUGUUGACAGUAUAUGCAUUUGUUUUCCUUGAUAUUCUGAAUUACUUUGAUUUCGUG
rnacentral:lncRNA from 1 species